GACGAACGCUGGCGGCGUGCUUAACACAUGCAAGUCGAACGAUGAACCAGGGCUUGCCCUGGGAAUUAGUGGCGAACGGGUGAGUAACACGUGGGCAACCUGCCCCAGACACCGGGAUAACCUCUCGAAAGAGUGGCUAAUACCGGAUACGACCACUUUGGGCAUCCAACGGUGGUGGAAAGGAUUCUGGUCUGGGAUGGGCCCGCGGCCUAUCAGCUUGUUGGUGGGGUAAUGGCCUACCAAGGCGACGACGGGUAGCCGGCCUGAGAGGGCGACCGGCCACACUGGGACUGAGACACGGCCCAGACUCCUACGGGAGGCAGCAGUGGGGAAUAUUGCGCAAUGGGCGAAAGCCUGACGCAGCGACGCCGCGUGAGGGACGAAGGUCUUCGGAUUGUAAACCUCUUUCAGCAGGGACGAAGCGAAAGUGACUGUACCUGCAGAAGAAGCACCGGCUAACUACGUGCCAGCCGCCGCGGUAAAAC
rnacentral:rRNA from 1 species